CCAGACAGCCAGGAUGUUGGCUUAGAAGCAGCCAUCAUUUAAAGAAAGCGUAAUAGCUCACUGGUCGAGUCGGCCUGCGCGGAAGAUGUAACGGGGCUAAACCAUGCACCGAAGCUGCGGCAGCGACGCUUAUGCGUUGUUGGGUAGGGGAGCGUUCUGUAAGCCUGCGAAGGUGUGCUGUGAGGUAUGCUGGAGGUAUCAGAAGUGCGAAUGCUGACAUAAGUAACGAUAAAGCGGGUGAAAAGCCCGCUCGCCGGAAGACCAAGGGUUCCUGUCCAACGUUAAUCGGGGCAGGGUGAGUCGA
rnacentral:rRNA from 1 species